GAUGAACGCUGGCGGCGUGCCUAAUACAUGCAAGUCGAGCGAACAGACGAGGAGCUUGCUCCUCUGACGUUAGCGGCGGACGGGUGAGUAACACGUGGAUAACCUACCUAUAAGACUGGGAUAACUUCGGGAAACCGGAGCUAAUACCGGAUAAUAUAUUGAACCGCAUGGUUCAAUAGUGAAAGACGGUUUUGCUGUCACUUAUAGAUGGAUCCGCGCCGCAUUAGCUAGUUGGUAAGGUAACGGCUUACCAAGGCAACGAUGCGUAGCCGACCUGAGAGGGUGAUCGGCCACACGGGAACUGAGACACGGUCCAGACUCCUACGGGAGGCAGCGGUGGGGAAUCUUCCGCAAUGGGCGAAAGCCUGACGGAGCAACGCCGCGUGAGUGAGGAAGGUCUUCGGAUCGUAAAACUCUGUUAUUAGGGAAGAACAAAUGUGUAAGUAACUAUGCACGUCUUGACGGUACCUAAUCAGAAAGCCACGGCUAACUACGUG
rnacentral:rRNA from 1 species